GAGGGUAUAGCUCAGUGUUAGAGUGUGUGCUUAGCAUGCACAAGGUCCUAAAUUCAAUUCCCAGCACCUCCA
rnacentral:tRNA from 1 species